rnacentral:rRNA from 1 species
CUAGUCGAGCGCUUCCUAGCCAAUUUGGGAGCGCGGCACACAGCUCAGUAACACGUGGCGAACCUGCCCUUGGGACAAGAACAACCCCGGGAAACUGGGGCUAAUUCGUGAUAGGCGAAGAACUCUGGAAUGAGUCUUCACCCAAAAGACGCUUACGCUAUGCUUGUAGGCGGCGCCCAAGGAUGGGGCCGCGACCGAUCAGGUUGUUGGUGAGGUAAUGGCUCACCAAGCCUUUUACCGGUGCGGGCCGUGAGAGCGGGAGCCCGGAGAUGGGCACUGAGACAAGGGCCCAGGCCCUACGGGGCGCAGCAGUCGCGAAAACUUUGCAAUAAGCGAAAGCUUGACAGGGCUAUCCCGAGUGCCAUCCGCUGAGGAAGGCUUUUACCCAGUCUAGAACGCUGGGGGAAUAAGGAGAGGGCAAGUCUGGUGUCAGCCGCCGCGGUAAUACCAGCUCUCCGAGUGGUGUGGAUGUUUAUUGGGCCUAAAGCAUCCGUAGCUGGCUAGGUUAGUCCCUUGUUAAAUCCACCGAAUUAAUCGUUGGAUUGCGGGGGAUACUGCUUGGCUAGGGGACGAGAGAGGCAGACGGUAUUUCCGGGGUAGGGGUGAAAUCCUAUAAUCCCGGGAAGACCACCAGUGGCGAAGGCUGUCUGCUAGAACGCGCCCGACGGUGAGGGAUGAAAGCUGGGGGAGCGAACCGGAUUAGACACCCGGGUAGUCCCAGCUGUAAACGAUGCAGGCUAGGU